AACGAACGCUGGCGGCGUGGCUAAGACAUGCAAGUCAAACGGACUAUCUGCUUGGGUAACUGAAAUGAUAGUCAGUGGCGAAAGGGUGAGGAAUGGAUAGGUAACGUACCCCGAACAUUGGAAUAGCGUCUAGAAACUUCGGUUUCUUUCCGAAAGGGGCGGUAAUACCGAAUAAUAUCAUAUAUCAUAAGGUCUAUGAUCAAAGAUUUAUCGGUUUGGGAGCGGCCUAUUUCCUAUCAGCUUGUUGGUGAGGUAAAGGCUCACCAAGGCAUCGACGGGUAGCGGGACUGAGAGGUUGACCCGCCACAUCGGGACUGAGACACUGCCCGGACCUCCACGGAGGGCUGCAGUAACGAAUAUUGCGCAAUGGGGGCAACCCUGAUCCAGCCAUGCCGCGUGUGUGAAGAAGGCCUUCGGGUUGUAAAGCACUUUCAGCAGGGAGGAAGGCUUACCCCUAAUACGGGUGAGUACUUGACGUUACCUGCAGAAGAAGCACCGCUAAUUU
rnacentral:rRNA from 1 species